rnacentral:rRNA from 1 species
CAGUAGCCGUAGCGGCGAAAUCCAUGAUCCUAUGCUGCCGAGAAAAGCCUCUAGCGAGCUGGUACAUGGCCCGUACCCCAAACCGACACAGGUGGUCAGGUAGAGAAUACUAAGGCGAUCGAGAGAACUGUGGUAAGGAACUCGGCAAAAUGCCCCCGUAACUUCGGGAGAAGGGGGACCAGUCCUGGUGACGACAUUUACUGUCUGAGCUGGGGUUGGUCGCAGAGACCAGAGAGAAGCGACUGUUUACUAAAAACACAGGUCCGUGCGAAGUCGUAAGACGAUGUAUACGGACUGACGCCUGCCCGGUGCUGGAAGGUUAAGAGGACCGGUCAGCCACUUCGGUGGCGAAGCUGAGAAUUUAAGCCCCAGUAAACGGCGGUGGUAACUAUAACCAUCCUAAGGUAGCGAAAUUCCUUGUCGGGUAAGUUCCGACCUGCACGAAUGGCGUAACGACUUCUCUGCUGUCUCAACCACAGACUCGGCGAAAUUGCAGUACGAGUAAAGAUGCUCGUUACGCGCGGCAGGACGAAAAGACCCCGGGACCUUCACUAUAGCUUGGUAUUGGUGUUCGGUUCGGUUUGUGUAGGAUAGGUGGGAGACUGUGAAACUCGCACGCCAGUGUGGGUGGAGUCAUUGUUGAAAUACCACUCUGACCGUAUUGGACAUCUAACCUCGGACCAUGAUCUGGUUCAGGGACAGUGCCUGGUGGGUAGUUUAACUGGGGCGGUUGCCUCCUAAAAAGUAACGGAGGCGCCCAAAGGUUCCCUCAGCCUGGUUGGCAAUCAGGUGUUGAGUGUAAGUGCACAAGGGAGCUUGACUGUGAGACGUACAUGUCGAGCAGGGACGAAAGUCGGGACUAGUGAUCCGGCACCGGCAAGUGGAAGCGGUGUCGCUCAACGGAUAAAAGGUACCCCGGGGAUAACAGGCUGAUCUUCCCCAAGAGUCCAUAUCGAUGGGAUGGUUUGGUACCUCGAUGUCGGCUCGUCGCAUCCUGGGGCUGGAGUAGGUCCCAAGGGUUGGGCUGUUCGCCCAUUAAAGCGGCACGCGAGCUGGGUUUAGAACGUCGUGAGACAGUUCGGUCUCUAUUCGCCGCGCGCGUAAGAAACUUGAGGAAACCUGUCCCUAGUACGAAAGGACCGGGACGGACGAACCUCUAGUGUGCCAGUUGUUCCACCAAGAGCACCGCUGGUUAGCUACGUUCGGAAGGGAUAACCGCUGAAAGCAUCUAAGCGGGAAGCCUGUUCCAAGAUGAGGUUUCUCACCACCUAGCGUGGUUAAGGCCCCCCACAGACCAUGGGGUUGAUAGGCCAGAACUGUAAGCACAGCAAUGUGUUCAGGUGACUGGUACUAAUCGGCCGAGGACUUACC